AAGUGAUUCUCCUGCCUCAGCUUCCUGAGUAGCUGGGAUUACAGAGGUUGGAAAAGUGAGGUCCAGAGAGGCUUAGCUGGCUGAGUGUGACUGAGAAGAAAAGGCUUGGGGCUGCAAACUCCACAGAGAUAAAGGGGCUACUGCUAUCUUGCUUUGGUAGUUACAGUAAAUCAAGAUAAAGACACCAGUCUGCUUGGACUUGUGGAGAGGUAGCAAACAGUCCACAGACAGUUUGCUCAUUUCGGAAGAAAGCUCCUGACUGAGGUUCUUUAGAUGCGUUUAACGGAGGGACAGCUGUGCAGAAGCAUCACUGUCUCACUCUUUUCCAGACUGAUCAAAUGAAGCGUCUGUCAUGUCACACAUAUGGAGUUCUCUACCAACAGCAAAGGCUAUUUAGUCAAGUUCUACAGAUCAAAAGUCUAACACUGGUGUUAUUGGGCUGAAAUCCAGGCGAUGGCAGAGCUGCGCUCCUUUCUGGAGGCUCCGGGGAGAAUUCUCUUCCUUAACCUUUCAAGCUUCUCGAGGCCCUCUGCACUCCCUGGAGACAGGAGGAGAGAAGAAUCAUGGACUCCCUGGGCACAGCACCGCAGGUGGCUUUGCCAGUUCUCCCAGCCCCGCGCUGCUCCUGCGCCUGCGCUGAGCCUCCACGUGUCCUCAGGAGACUUAGCCUAGCCUGGGUAUCACCAGCAGUGGGCCAGGCCGCUUUGCCUUCAACUCCCAACAGUAACCUUGCAGAGGUCAGCCUGGGGCCACCAGGAGGAGUUAGUAAGAGCUUAUCCUGUGGGGGCACUCACUGGGGCUGGUGGCCGGGAAAUCCCAGGUGUUUUGUUGGUUUGAGUUUUGUUGUGUUUUUAUUUUUCUUCCGCUGAGAUCAGGACUGAAGCAGGGACGCAGUGCUCAGCACGCCCAGCCCACCGCGGGCCACUGCGCGGAGAACCUCUGCCAGGGUCGCCUGCUCACGUCCCCUAAUCCGCUCCUGGCGCGCGUUCCUGUCCUCCUCCUGCUGUGACUAGUGUGCAUGGAAGGGCACAGUGGUGGCAGAAAGACUUGUGGCGAGAUAUCAAGAUCCACAGGAAGUCAUAAGAGAAAAAGCAUUUUGUUUGAACUCCACCCACUGACCUUUUGUGGGUGAGCUUUCGGUGAAACAGCAACAUCCUCAGAAAUCUUAGAGACACGGCUUUGUAACCCGGGGGAGAGACACCGCUUCCAAAUAUAAUUGACGUGGCUUUCCUGCCUUAAUUCGGGGUAUCCUUUUUCCACCACAUAAUCUUCCCUUUGUCCGCGCUGAUUCCUGUUUAGUUUGGCAGGGCCAGCUGCUGGCAGGCUCCCCCAGUGCUGAAUGCUCCGCGCUCCACUGUGCUGGGCCUGCUGAAAAAGCAGACAGCGCUCCCUCUCCCCCAGAAUCAGGAGCCAAAUGCCACACCGAUUGUGCAACUUGUCUCUGGUUACCAGGAAAACGUAAAGAAAUGCCAAUGAAGCAGAAAGGUCGACAAAAUUCUUUCCAACGCUUGAACAAAAAAGGUAUUUUUAGGGCCCUAGAUUUAUGGAAGUCAAUUCUUCCACUCCUCGCCAGGCUUUCAAACCUCCUAUUCUUUGCACUACAUUAUUUGAAUAAACCGUAAAUACCCUUAGUUGCUCUAAUAGCAACUGCUGGUCCAUAUUGUGCAAGGCGGCCAUGGUCUGAAGACCUUGUUGAAUUUGAAAGACAGAAGUUCCGUUUCUGGCACAUAAACUUGAAUCAGGGCUAUAGUUAAGAGUGCCAGUGAGGUCCACAUUUUGACAGCUAGAUAAGCAGGUCAUUUAUUCAAAAGGACUUUGAAUCCAUGCCCAGAGUCAAAUGCAGUCCUUUGUAAAGCCCAGCAGGCUUGAAAUAAAAACUUCUUAACUGAGUUGAUCAGUGUCCUGCAUUUUAGGGGUCAGGAAAGUAUUUAUGAUAAGUUGGAAAUGGACAGGGCAGGAAAUUCUGGGCCUGGAAGGAUGGCUUCCUCACCAGGGACCGCACCACCAUAUUUUCUAAUUUGUGUCUUGAGGGAAAGUUUAUAUUUUUUGCUGAAAAUAUUAUCUCCUUGUGACAAAACCACAAG
rnacentral:lncRNA from 1 species